UGGAAUCAUGCCUCAGCUUCAACACCUUCUGUGUGUUGUGUUCACUCUUCAGAUGAUGACACAAACAGAGUAAAGCCAAUUAGUAUCGAUUCAGCGGCUGUUUUUAACGAUAUUCUCACCGCCGCAGGAACCAAAAUCUACGGAUGAUCCUAACGCCAACGCCACGUGUCAGAGCUCUUCCUCUCCUUCUGCUCAGUAACUGCAUGGACAUCACUGUGCCAACCUUGAAUGGGAAUAGUACUCUCAAGAAAGGGACUCAAGCAGAAGAGCUGUUAAGUUUUUCACUGCCUUGUGAUCUAAGCAUGAGAGGGAGCAAUGAACAAUGGGCAGAAGCUUUUCUGGCUCGCAUGCAAGCAAAGUGGGAAAGGUGUGCAAGUGCUUGGAAGUCGUUAAAGAUGGAGGUUAUUGAGUAUCAUCCUCAAGCUAUCGUGUUAUAAAUGUCCCCCUCUUCUAGGCUCUACCUGUCAAAAUAGACUUGAAUCCCACCAAGUACAGGGUGUGUACUUAAAAAAAAAAAGAAUGUAUGUAAAUGAAUUCAAAUAAAAGGAAACAUUUAUCAGAAAAUAUAUUCCUUAGCUGGAUAUCAUACCUCAUUGCAACUUGCUUGCCACAUGUAUUAUAUAAUAAAAUUGGGUAGUUACAUGGAGUUCCGAACCAAAUGAACUUUAUGUAUUGUAUAUCUUUCAAGAAGACGUACUAAUCUAUUAUAUUGCCAAAUUCUACUCUGUAAGAAAUAAAUUGAUCUCCUCACGCACACGCAUGAUGUUAUUUGACACUACUUUUGAAACGUGUAGACAAUAUCCACGAAAUAGAAAUGUGAUUUAUGUAGAGCUUUAGGUAUUGUAAAUAGAAAUGGCAUGUUCAAAGUUCCUUAUAAGUGAUGAAUACGACCCAUGAAUCAUUCUUGUUCGUAUUACUGAUUUUUUGAACUGCGUAAAGACGUAAAGUCAAUCGGUUGGGCUUUCGCUCCUCUAUUUUCUUCUUCAAAUGAUUGGUUGCAAAAACAGUUUGCUGCAAACUUAAAUUGAACAGUUAGACAGAAGACAAUUUCAGCUGUUUAAGUUGCAACUAUGGGCCGAGCUUAUGAUUCAAAUUUUCAUUCAAUCGCUAAUCUCAAAAUUUGAAAGAAAGCGUUAUUUGGCAAAACCUGAAAACAGUGCAUAGGAGAAAAAA